UACGAAGGGGGCUAGCGUUGCUCGGAAUCACUGGGCUUAAAGGGCGCGUAGGCGGGUGCUCAAGUCUGUGGUGAAAUCCUCCGGCUCAACCGGAGAACUGCCAUGGAUACUGGGUGCCUCGAGGGUGGUAGGGGUAUGCGGAACUAUCGGUGGAGCGGUGAAAUGCGUUGAUAUCGAUAGGAACUCCGGUGGCGAAGGCGGCAUACUGGACCACUUCUGACGCUGAGGCGCGAAAGCCAGGGGAGCAAACGGG
rnacentral:rRNA from 1 species